UACAGAGGUCCCAAGCGUUGUUCGGAUUCAUUGGGCGUAAAGGGUGCGUAGGCGGCCACCGCAAGUCGGUUGUGAAAUCUCCGGGCUUAACCCGGAAAGGUCAACCGAUACUGCGGGGCUAGAGUGCAGAAGGGGCAACUGGAAUUCUCGGUGUAGCGGUGAAAUGCGUAGAUAUCGAGAGGAACACCUGCGGCGAAGGCGGGUUGCUGGGCUGACACUGACGCUGAAACGCGAAAGCUAGGGGAGCGAACGGG
rnacentral:rRNA from 1 species